UACGUAGGGUGCGAGCGUUGUCCGGAAUUAUUGGGCGUAAAGAGCUCGUAGGCGGUGUGUCGCGUCGGCCGUGAAAACCUGCAGCUUAACUGUGGGCUUGCGGUCGAUACGGGCAUCACUGGAGUUCGGCAGGGGAGACUGGAAUUCCUGGUGUAGCGGUGGAAUGCGCAGAUAUCAGGAGGAACACCGGUGGCGAAGGCGGCCUGCUGGGCAGUAGCUGACGCUGAUGCGCGACAGCGUGGGGAGCAAACAGG
rnacentral:rRNA from 1 species